AUUGAACGCUAGCGGCAUGCUUUACACAUGCAAGUCGAGCGGAAGCGCGGAGCUUGCUCCGGCGGCGAGUGGCGGACGGGGGAGUAAUACAUAGGAAUAUGCCCACUAUUAGGGGAUGACUACGCGAAAGAGUCGCUAAUACCACAUACGAACUAAGGGGGAAAGAAGGGGAUCUUAAGACAUUACGCUUUUGGAGCGGCCCAUGCCGGAUUAGCUAGUUGGUGGGGUAAAGGCUUACCAAGGCGACGAUCCGUAGCCGGUCUGAGAGGGUGACCGGCCACACUGGAACUGAGACACGGUCCAGACUCCUACGGGAGGCAGCAGUGGGGAAUUUUCGGCAAUGGGCGCAAGCCUGACGGAGCCACGCCGCGUGAGUGAUGAAGGUCUUCGGAUCGUAAAACUCUGUUAUUAGGGAAGAACAAAUGUGUAAGAAACUAUGCACGUCUUGACGUUACCUAAUGAAAAAGCACCGGCUAACUACGUG
rnacentral:rRNA from 1 species